AACCAUAGAAAAACUUGAUUUGGCAUUUUUGGAUUUUCUUCUUCUCUCGCGCUUUGCUUCUUCUGAUUCUUCAGCUUUUGACUCUUCAUUAUCAUUAUCUGUGCGAGCUUUUUUAUUCAAUGUAAAAAUAUGGAC
rnacentral:ribozyme from 14 species